rnacentral:rRNA from 1 species
UACGUAGGUGGCAAGCGUUGUCCGGAUUUAUUGGGCGUAAAGCGCUCGCAGGUGGUUCGUCGCGUCGUGCGUGAAAUCCCUCGGCUUAACCGGGGAACUGCAUCUGAUACUGGAUGGCUUGAGUUCGGGAGAGGGAUGCGGAAUUCCAGGUGUAGCGGUGAAAUGCGUAGAUAUCUGGAGGAAUACCGGUGGCGAAGGCGGGUCUCUGGGCCGAUACUGACGCUUAGGAGCGAAAGCGUGGGGAGCGAACAGG